rnacentral:rRNA from 1 species
AAUCAACGCUGGCGGCGUGCCUCAGACAUGCAAGUCGAACGAUUAAGACUUCCUUCGGGAAGUGCAUAAAGUGGCGCACGGGUGAGUAACACGUAAGUAAUCUACCCUCGAGUGGGGAAUAACGUUCGGAAACGGACGCUAAUACCGCAUAACGCAGCGGCACCGCAAGGUGACAGUUGUUAAAGGAGCAAUCCGCUUGAGGAGGAGCUUGCGGCAGAUUAGCUAGUUGGUAAGGUAAUGGCUUACCAAGGCUACGAUCUGUAUCCGGUCUUAGAGGACGGUCGGUCACACUGACACUGAAUAACGGGUCAGACUCCUACGGGAGGCAGCAGUCGGGAAUUUUGGGCAAUGGGCGAAAGCCUGACCCAGCAACGCCGCGUGAAGGAUGAAGUAUUUCGGUAUGUAAACUUCGAAAGAAUAGGAAGAAUAAAUGACGGUACUAUUUAUAAGGUCCGGCUAACUACGUGCCAGCAGCCGCGGUAAGUGACGUCAGA